rnacentral:tRNA from 1 species
GCUCCCGUAGCUCAGUGGAAGAGCACAAGGCCGCGGACCUUGGUUAGCGUGGGUUCAAUUCCUACCGGGAGUACCA